CUCACAGGACCCAUCUGUAUGGUGCUGUCUAUGAGAAACCCAAGUUCAUCCCCACAGCCAAAGGGAAGUUGGUCCAAGUCGGGGACGCCUGCAAGGUGGCGCGGGUGGCUGUGAGCCCGGCCGCCUUGUCUGGCCUGGUGGCCAGCGCCCAGCAGUUCCGGGAGCAGAGCCAGGCUGAGGUGUGCAGCAGGGACAGAGCCCUGAUCUUCGGCCUGAAAUCAGAAGGCGCGAACCCUGAAAGGCAGAGGUACCCUCUCCUGAGACUCAGCGACAUCCUGAAGGCCACGGAGGACUACCUGCGCCCGCUGCUCUCGCUGCUCCGCAGCCCGGAGCCCAGGUCCCGCGCCGGGUGCUCUCUGGGCGUCAGGGCCUGAGCUCUGCACACCCAGUGGGGCUGAGCCACACCCCUCUUCCUCUGCUCCCGCUCCCACGGGACACCCUGUGCUUCCUGAGGGUCUCUGCACCCCCAGAAUGCCUGCACCCCCAGAAUGCCCGGCUCUGUCCCACCUGCCGUCUGCCAUUGGGAAGAAGUCCCGCUCC